rnacentral:lncRNA from 1 species
AUGGUGUAAUUUUUUUUAAUAAUAUCAAAUGUACAGCUGUCAUAGAACAUUUUUACAAAUGGGACUAUCUUAAAGAAAAGUACAACGAUGAUAAGUAGGUGGGAUAUCAUGUCACAUGACACAACAAAUGUACUAAAUACAUGCUGACAAACUUACACUGACAUCAUCGAGUUACAAAUAACCAAUCAAAUUCAUCUUGUGUAUGCUGUUUUAAACCUUAUGUACAAAAAUUUGAAUGACAAAAUCACAGCUGAAAAGAUGUUAAAUUAUCUUUAUGUUUUUUUUACCAAAAGUCUUGAAAGUUAACCACUAGAAAUUCAAAAUAAUCAAAUCUACUUGAAGUUUAACUCAAUUGACUUUCGACAAUUAAAAAGUCCAUAAUCUAUGAUGCAUUUUUUUCAGAUACAUGUAUUAUAAAUUUUCUAAAAAUUACCAAUCAGAAACGACAUCAGAAAGGCUGUUUUCUAAUAACAAAAUAAAUUUGAAGAGAGUUACUCACAACAAUACAGCACACAAUAACAGCUAUAAAACACUAAUUCAUAUAAAACUGAUGGAUAAAAAUAGUCUACCGGUAUAUAUAAAUACAAUAUUAAAUGGUAAAGAUCAUGAUUAAAAAUAUCUAUACAAAAUUUUAUCUACAUAUAGCUACUAAAAAUGUUUUUUGUAAGUUUUGCAUAUAUUUGGCACAUAAUUGUUGAUGUAUCUGAAGUGAAAGAUACUCCAUAAUGAACUGCUUAAUAUUCUGGGUGAAAAUAUAAAUUAAUUUUGAUUCUAAUCAAUCUUAAAUACCCCUUUUUAUAUUUUACUAAAAAAUGUUUUCUUCCAAAGGGGAAAAAAAUUACAGAUACAAAGACUCCUGGUCUAUUCACAUGUAUAUAUAUACUAACCUAAAAACUGAUACAACCUCCUUAUAAUAAAAGUUUUAAUUGACUUAAAAUUUUAAAUGUAGUAAUGACUAUUGAAGUUAAUCGGAAUGGUCAAAAGAU